GAAUUUGCACAGUGGCAGUAUCAUGACCAAUGAGGUCAAUCCGAGGCGCGAUUAUUGCUAAUUGAAAACUUUUCCCAAUGCCCUGCCAUGAUGACUUGAAAUAUAGUUGGCAAUGGCAAUUUUGACGGUCUCUACGGAAUGGGA